GACGAACGCUGGCGGCGUGCUUAACACAUGCAAGUCGAACGGAAAGGCCCUGCUUUUGUGUGGUGCUCGAGUGGCGAACGGGUGAGUUACACGUGAGUAACCUUCCCUUUACUUUGGGAUAACUUCAGGAAACUGGGGCUAAUACCUGAUAGGAGCUCCUGCUGCAUGGUGGGGUUUGGACCGUUUCGGCGGUUGGGGAUGGACUCGCGGCUUAUCAGCUUGUUGGUGGGGUAGUUGCUUACCAAGGCUUUGAAGGGUAGCCGGCCUGAGAGGGUGACCGGCGACAUUGGGACUGAGAUACGGCCCAGACUCGUACGGGAGGCAGCAGUGGAGAAUAUGGCACAAUGGGCGGAAGCCUGAUGCAGCAACGCCGCGUGCGGGAUGAAGGCCUUCGGGGUGGAAACCGCUUUCGCCUGUGACGAAGCGGGAGUGACGGUAAUGGGUAAAGAAGCACCGGCUAACUACGUG
rnacentral:rRNA from 1 species